rnacentral:rRNA from 1 species
AUUGAACGCUGGCGGCAUGCCUUACACAUGCAAGUCGAACGGUAACAGGUCUUCGGAUGCUGACGAGUGGCGAACGGGUGAGUAAUACAUCGGAGCGUGCCUAGUAGUGGGGGAUAACUACUCGAAAGAGUGGCUAAUACCGCAUGAGAUCUACGGAUGAAAGCAGGGGAUCGCAAGACCUUGUGCUACUAGAGCGGCCGAUGGCAGAUUAGGUAGUUGGUGGGAUAAAAGCUUACCAAGCCGACGAUCUGUAGCUGGUCUGAGAGGACGAUCGGCCACACUGGGACUGAGACACGGCCCAGACUCCUACGGGAGGCAGCAGUGGGGAAUUUUGGACAAUGGGCGAAAGCCUGAUCCAGCAAUGCCGCGUGCAGGAUGAAGGCCUUCGGGUUGUAAACUGCUUUUGUACGGAACGAAAAGCCCCGGGUUAAUACCCUGGGGUCAUGACGGUACCGUAAGAAUAAGCACCGGCUAACUACGUGCCAGCAGCCGCAGUAA